GCGCAGCCUUCGCAGAAGCAGUGACCACCGAACGCGAUGCCUCAGCCGGUGUGGCUGAUUUUCUGCGCCCUGGUUGCAUAUAAGGAGGAGGUGGAGCCGAGCCAUGCUGCUUUUAUGGAGGUCCAGAGAUUCGGGGUUGGAGAAAGCCCCACGCUGGGAAACCUCCCGACCCGCCAGAACCUGCUUCACCGCCACCUCCACCUUCUUACCACUCAGCGUGUACUAAACAGCAAGAAGGGAAAAGACAUGAUGGCUGCGUUGUCACGUUUGUGAACAAUUUUGAAGUUUUACGCCGGAUGCCCUUCCUGACGCAACCCCUCUACAAAUAUUUCAAAUACAGAUGCUGGUUUUCCAUUUUUGUUGUUAAAACUUUCGGUUAUGUAUCCUUAAUUUUAGUCCAUUUAUGUUCAAGUUGAAUUAAAUUUAAAUUGAAAAUAAAAAAUACAUUCAAUUGCAGAGCAGUUUCAGAUCGAGAUAUUUUUGUCAGUUUUGUUAAUUUCUCACACUUUCCUCAAUUUUGCAGUUUAUCUAUGAUCAAAUUAAAUUCAAUUUAAAUAAAAUCUAAAUAGUUUUCAGAAAGUUGCUAAUCUAAUAUUUUUUUUAUUUUUUUUUUAAUUCUGCAGUAA